rnacentral:rRNA from 1 species
UACGGGGGGGGCAAGCGUUGUUCGGAAUUACUGGGCGUAAAGGGCUCGUAGGCGGCCAACUAAGUCAGACGUGAAAUCCCUCGGCUUAACCGGGGAACUGCGUCUGAUACUGGAUGGCUUGAAUCCGGGAGAGGGAUGCGGAAUCCAGGUGUAGCGGUGAAAUGCGUAGAUAUCUGGAGGAACACCGGUGGCGAAGGCGACGAUCCUGGACCGGUAUU